UGUUCUUUGAAGCACAGCCUCUUCCCCUCAUUAUGGGGUUACACUCCUCCCCCCAUCGCAGGGCUCUGGUGUCCAUGUGUGAGGCAGAUAGGCAGGGACAGGCUGUGCGAGAGAGGGUUAACACCAUUCAGAAACUCAGGAAUUCUCCACUGUUAGAUGGGACUGAAAUAUUGGUGAAGAAGCAGAUUUGCAGAAAUACAGUGUUUUCAGCCAAAGAGAAAAAAGUAAUAAGGAUAUUAUGGGACAUCUCCUUUAAAUUUUUUAUGAUCCAGGCAAAACCUUGAGAAUUCUAUCUGGGCCUCUUCUUGUGUUGGAUGAUCAGACUUUUGGAGAUGAUUCAGAAGGAAUCAUUAGCAGGGACACCGAGAUUUUUUUCCGAAACGAAAGACUGUGAAACACUCUGCCUGUGCUCAAGCCUUCAAGUGGAAGACUGAAGACUUGCAGGAUGUAAGAGCAGUAAUGAGAUCCAGACCCAAGCUGGUGUGUGAUUCUGAAAGUGGGGCAGGGUACCUCUGCGUGUCCAGGGUACAUUGCCGCUGCUGCUGCAAGCACAAAACAUGCUCACUCCCCUGGAGGGAAGAGCUGCACACAGGAGCACUGGGCUUGCUUUCUGCACACAGAUCCUGCAAGGAGUCUGUCUCUUGAAAACAGGGGACACAAAUGACACCGCUGACACUCUGGAUGACUGUGUGCUGUGUGUGAAGACAGGGGAUAAUCAACACUUGAUGAGCUGCAUACAACAGCCCACAACUACAUGUCUUAUUGUGAUCAUUCAAAGUAAUCACAGCAUUUUUUAGUGCCUUAGUGCCUUUUAGAUUUCAGCUCCUCAUAAUUGGGGGGAGGCAUUCAGGGCAUCUUUAUUACCCAGCACCCUUUGAAUCAAGUGUAGCUUCUGGUAUGUAAGGAGAGGCUCUGGAAUAAAAACCUUUGCAUG